UUCAAUGAUCAGAACAAGAAAUGAUGAUUUAAUUAGCAACCGAAGAAACUUAAGCCGUGUGAUGAAAUUUCUCACAUUAUAUUUACAAAUUUCCCCUUGUCACUUACUUUUAGGCUUUGGCAUAAAAAAAAUAUAAAAAAGAACAAACAAUAAAAGAACAUAUGUUUUAGGUUCACAAGAAACAAAAAUUAGUAGUAGAACAAGGAACUGAGCAUAUACAAUUUAAUAAGGAAACAACACUCAAUAAGCCAGAAUGAUGAAAUAGGACUUUGUUUAGCCAUCCCCAGCUGCAUAUACGCAUAUACAUGCAUAUACAUCAAGAUAGAUACAUAUGUGUUUCCAAGUGUAGUGUUACACACAAUAAAAUAAUGGAAAUCUGUAUUAUAAUAAAAAUGUGAUAGGUAAAGUACUUAAGUACAAUCAUCUAUAUUAAGUAUAUUCAAGGCAAUUAAAAUGAGAGUGGAUCAUCUAUUUCAUUUGGUGAAAUUUAAGCGAAAUUGCUUCUACCAUGAUUCAUUAUGUUAAGGAAGAUAGCUCAAUUAUAUGGUAGCUGAAAAGGCACUUGUAGAUAUGGUCAAAUAAAUCUAGAUCUCAUUUAGUUGGAAAAUGGGCUUUAGUAGAACGUCUUGUUGGGCUUUGUGGAGCCUAGUUUUGUUUGAUCCGGUUUGACGACCCGACCCGAAUAAUAUUGCAUGACUUUUUUAAUGGGAGAUUUAUUGAGGCCUGUUGGGCUCGUUUAGCCCAUUGUGGAACCACCCUUUGUAAUUAGGGUUUUUUAGUAUGGUAGUGUUGCCGUGCUAUAUAUAUAUAGAGAAUAUUGUAGCCGCCAGGUUGUACCCUGUAUUCUUCCCUGAUAAUAGUGAUAUCCCUGCAACUCCGUGGACGUAGGCAAAUUGCCGAACCACGUAAAUACUGUCUUGGGUGUGUGAUUGUUUUUCUUUGGCGUGUGUUUUCUCUAAUUUUUUUUUUGUUUCUCAUGGGUUGGGAAUUCGGUUUAAUUCCCUACAACUGGUAUCAGAGCCUAGGGUUAGGUUUGAGUGGGAGCAAUGGCAGAGGAAGCAGGAAAGGCGUCUGGAAUAGAAAAGUUUGAUGGCACAGACUUUGCGUAUUGGAGGAUGCAGAUUGAAGAUUAUCUCUAUGGGAGGAAAUUACAUCUGCCUCUUUUGGGGACAAAACCUGAGAGUAUGAAGGCUGAGGAAUGGGCGCUUCUUGACAGACAGGUUCUAGGAGUUAUUAGGUUAACUCUGUCUAGGUCUGUUGCACAUAAUGUUGUAAAGGAGAAGACCACAACAGAUCUGAUGAAGGCUUUGUCCGGUAUGUAUGAAAAGCCGUCCGGAAACAAUAAGGUGCAUCUGAUGAAAAAAUUGUUCAAUUUGAAGAUGGCAGAGAAUGCAUCAGUAGCACAACAUCUGAAUGAAUUUAAUACAAUCACAAAUCAAUUGUCGUCUGUAGAAAUUGAUUUUGAUGAUGAGAUUCGUGCUCUGAUCGUCUUGGCUUCUUUGCCAAAUAGUUGGGAGGCAAUGAGGAUGGCAGUAAGCAAUUCUACGGGAAAGGAAAAGCUCAAGUACAAUGAUAUAUGAGAUUUAAUUCUGGCUGAGGAGAUUCGCCGAAGAGAUGCAGGUGAAACCUCAGGAUCUGGUUCUGCCCUAAACCUUGAGACAAGAGGCAGAGGUAAUAACAGAAAUUCAAAUCAGGGUAGAUCAAAUUCCAGAAAUUCUAAUCGGAACAGAAGCAAAUCUAGAUCAGGCCAACAAGUACAAUGCUGGAAUUGUGGGAAAACAGGUCACUUUAAAAGGCAAUGCAAAAGCCCUAAGAAGAAGAAUGAAGAUGAUUCUGCUAAUGCUGUAACAGAAGAGGUACAGGAUGCAUUACUUCUUGCAGUAGACAGUCCACUUGAUGAUUGGGUUUUGGAUUCAGGAGCUUCGUUUCAUACCACUCCACACCGAGAAAUCAUACAGAAUUAUGUUGCAGGUGAUUUUGGUAAGAUGUAUUUGGCUGAUGGUUCAGCCUUGGAUGUUGUGGGUCUGGGAGAUGUUCGGAUAUCGUUGCCCAAUGGGUCUGUUUGGUUACUGGAGAAGGUUCGACAUAUUCUUGACCUGAGGAGGAAUCUGAUUUCUGUUGGACAACUUGAUGAUGAAGGACAUGCAAUACUAUUUGUUGGUGGUACUUGGAAGGUUACAAAGGGAGCUAGGGUAUUGGCUCGUGGAAAGAAGACUGGCACUCUGUAUAUGACCUCAUGUCCAAGAGACACAAUUGCAGUUGCUGAUGCAAGUACUGAUACAAGCUUAUGGCACCGCAGACUUGGUCACAUGAGUGAGAAAGGGAUGAAGAUGUUGUUGUCAAAAGGAAAACUACCAGAAUUGAAGUCCAUUGAUUUUGACAUGUGUGAAAGUUGCAUCUUAGGAAAGCAAAAAAAGGUGAGCUUCUUGAAAACUGGCAGGACACCGAAGGCUGAAAAAUUGGAACUAGUACACACUGAUUUGUGGGGGCCUUCUCCGGUUGCAUCCCUAGGAGGUUCAAGGUACUACAUCACCUUUAUUGAUGACUCAAGUAGAAAGGUAUGGGUUUAUUUUCUGAAAAAUAAAUCUGAUGUAUUUGUAACUUUUAAGAAGUGGAAGGCCAUGGUUGAGACAGAAACAGGUUUGAAAGUAAAAUGUUUGAGGUCAGAUAAUGGAGGAGAGUACAUAGAUGGAGGAUUCAGUAAGUAUUGUGCUGCACAGGGAAUUAGGAUGGAGAAGACCAUUCCUGGGACACCACAGCAGAAUGGUGUGGCUGAGCGCAUGAACAGAACUCUCAAUGAGCGUGCUAGAAGUAUGAGGUUGCAUGCUGGACUACCAAAAACUUUUUGGGCUGAUGCUGUUAGCACUGCAGCUUACCUGAUAAACCGAGGACCAUCAGUUCCCAUGGAGUUCAGACUUCCUGAGGAGGUUUGGAGCAGUAAAGAGGUGAAGUUUUCACAUUUAAAAGUUUUUGGUUGUAUUUCUUAUGUUCAUAUUGAUUCUGAUGCUCGUAGUAAACUUGAUGCAAAGUCAAAAAUAUGUUUUUUCAUUGGCUAUGGUGAUGAGAAAUUUGGCUAUAGGUUUUGGGAUGAACAAAACAGGAAAAUCAUCAGAAAUAGAAAUGUAAUAUUUAAUGAACAGGUUAUGUACAAAGACAGGUCAUCUGUAGUGUCAGAUGUUACAGAGAUAGAUCAAAAGAAAUCUGAGUUUGUCAACUUAGAUGAAUUGACUGAAAGUACUGUCCAAAAAGGGGGUGAAGAAGAUAAGGAGAAUGUAAAUUCACAGGUAGAUCUGAGUACACCUGUAGUUGAAGUUCGCAGAUCUUCUAGGAACACUAGACCUCCGCAGCGUUAUUCACCUGUUUUAAAUUAUCUCCUGUUGACUGAUGGUGGUGAGCCAGAGUGUUAUGAUGAAGCCUUGCAAGAUGAGAAUUCAAGCAAGUGGGAGUUAGCCAUGAAGGAUGAGAUGGAUUCCCUGUUGGGGAAUCAGACAUGGGAACUGACUGAAUUGCCAGUAGGAAAGAAGGCUUUACACAACAAGUGGGUAUACAGAAUAAAGAAUGAGCAUGAUGGUAGCAAACGUUACAAGGCCAAAUUAGUUGUUAAAGGGUUCCAGCAGAAGGAGGGCAUCGACUACACAGAGAUAUUUUCUCCAGUUGUGAAGAUGUCAACAAUUAGACUUGUACUUGGAAUGGUGGCUGCAGAAAACUUACAUCUUGAGCAGUUAGAUGUGAAGACAGCAUUCCUUCAUGGUGACUUGGAGGAAGACCUUUACAUGAUUCAGCCAGAAGGGUUCAUUGUUCAAGGACAAGAGAAUCUAGUCUGCAAACUGAGAAAGAGCUUGUAUGGCCUUAAACAAGCUCCUAGACAGUGGUACAAGAAGUUUGACAAUUUUAUGCAUAGAAUUGGGUUCAAGAGAUGUGAAGCUGAUCAUUGUUGCUAUGUUAAGUCCUUUGACAACUCUUACAUCAUAUUACUGUUGUAUGUGGAUAAUAUGCUUAUUGUAGGGUCUGACAUUGAGAAGAUUAAUAAUCUGAAGAAGCAAUUGUCCAAACAGUUUGCAAUGAAGGAUUUGGGAGCUGCAAAGCAAAUCCUUGGUAUGAGAAUCAUUAGAGACAAAGCUAAUGGUACAUUGAAGCUUUCACAGUCAGAGUAUGUGAAGAAAGUUCUCAGCAGGUUCAACAUGAAUGAAGCUAAACCAGUGAGCACACCCUUGGGUAGUCAUUUCAAACUAAGCAAAGAACAGUCACCAAAGACAGAAGAAGAAAGGGACCAUAUGAGCAAGGUGCCCUAUGCCUCAGCUAUUGACAGCUUGAUGUAUGCUAUGGUGUGUACAAGGCCAGACAUUGCACAUGCAGUGGGAGUUGUGAGCAGAUUCAUGAGUAGGCCUGGAAAGCAGCAUUGGGAGGCAGUCAAGUGGAUUUUAAGAUAUCUGAAGGGUUCAUUAGAUACAUGUCUUUGCUUCACAGGUGCAAAUUUGAAACUGCAGGGUUAUGUAGAUGCUGAUUUUGCUGGUGAUAUUGAUAGUAGAAAGAGUACUACUGGGUUUGUUUUUACUCUAGGUGGUACAGCUAUAUCAUGGACUUCAAAUCUACAGAAGAUUGUUACUUUGUCUACUACAGAAGCUGAGUAUGUUGCAGCAACUGAAGCUGGAAAGGAGAUGAUUUGGCUACAUGGUUUCUUAGAUGAAUUAGGUAAGAAGCAAGAGAUGGGCAUUCUACACAGUGACAGUCAGAGUGCAAUUUUUCUUGCCAAAAAUUCGGCUUUUCAUUCAAAGUCGAAACAUAUACAAACAAAAUAUCACUUUAUCCGUUAUCUUGUUGAGGAUAAACUGGUAAUACUUGAGAAGAUUUGUGAAUCUAAAAACCCUGCAGACAUGUUGACUAAGGGUGUCACUAUUGAGAAGUUGAAGCUGUGCGCAGCUUCAAUUGGUCUUCUAGCUUGAGGACAGGAGGAUGAGUUGUAGGGAUGAGGGAUCGUUUCUUGGAGGAUAGCGGUUUGAUGUUGGUGAUUGGACUAGUCUCCAAGUGGGAGAUUUGUUGGGCUUUGUGGAGCCUAGUUUUGUUUGAUCCGGUUUGACGACCCGACCCGAAUAAUAUUGCAUGACUUUUUUAAUGGGAGAUUUAUUGAGGCCUGUUGGGCUCGUUUAGCCCAUUGUGGAACCACCCUUUGUAAUUAGGGUUUUUUAGUAUGGUAGUGUUGCCGUGCUAUAUAUAUAUAGAGAAUAUUGUAGCCGCCAGGUUGUACCCUGUAUUCUUCCCUGAUAAUAGUGAUAUCCCUGCAACUCCGUGGACGUAGGCAAAUUGCCGAACCACGUAAAUACUGUCUUGGGUGUGUGAUUGUUUUUCUUUGGCGUGUGUUUUCUCUAAUUUUUUUUUUGUUUCUCACGGGUUGGGAAUUCGGUUUAAUUCCCUACACGUCUUUGGCUUUGGUUUUUGAUGACUGGCAGGAUGGUUAGAAAGCUAGCAGGAUGAAUAUGAAGUGCAUCAAUUCUGCAUUACAAAUCCCACCACCCAUAUUGACCUUUAAAAAGUUUGACUUUGUGCCUCAAGAAGGCUGCAAAGAAUGAUUACAAACAACAAAUCUUGAAUUUCAUAAAAAAGCUUCCAGCUUUUAAUAGAUUCAUAUGUUCUGCUUGUUCUGUUUUCAUAUAUCGACCAUUUUACCCAGACUUUUAAGGACUUCAAAAAAUAAAAUUCAUAAAAUCUACGUGAUUGAUAUACAUUGAUGAGCAAUGUUCAUGCCUACUUUCAAGCCUUUUUAGGACAAACACCCUUAAUAUUAACUCUUGUAAAGAGAAAACAUAAGAUGGAAAGAUGGGGCAAGAAAAAAAGAUGAGAUUUCAUAAACAUUUUCUAUGCUCAGAAAUAGAUACCCA
rnacentral:lncRNA from 1 species